UACGAACGCUGGCGGCGUGCUUAACACAUGCAAGUCGAACGGAAAGGCCCUGCUUUUGUGGGGUGCUCGAGUGGCGAACGGGUGAGUAACACGUGAGUAACCUGCCCUUGACUUUGGGAUAACUUCAGGAAACUGGGGCUAAUACCGGAUAGGAGCUCCUGCUGCAUGGUGGGGGUUGGAAAGUUUCGGCGGUUGGGGAUGGACUCGCGGCUUAUCAGCUUGUUGGUGGGGUAGUGGCUUACCAAGGCUUUGACGGGUAGCCGGCCUGAGAGGGUGACCGGCCACAUUGGGACUGAGAUACGGCCCAGACUCCUACGGGAGGCAGCAGUGGGGAAUAUUGCACAAUGGGCGGAAGCCUGAUGCAGCAACGCCGCGUGCGGGAUGACGGCCUUCGGGUUGUAAACCGCUUUCGCCUGUGACGAAGCGUGAGUGACGGUAAUGGGUAAAGAAGCACCGGCUAACUACGUG
rnacentral:rRNA from 1 species